rnacentral:lncRNA from 1 species
GUAUCUACAGGAGUAUUCCACUUAAAGACUGAGAAUAUCCUUAAGUUGCAGAUCUCAAGAGACUAGAUGUGUUUCUGGCCAUACAGAGAAGCUGAGUUUUAGAAAUCCACUAUAAUGUAGAUUUUUAUAUCGACAUCUUUAGCACCUGCAGAAUUAUUCAGGAAUUUUGGGAUCACAGGUCCAGACUUAAGCACCUGUGAAUUUAGAGAAGGUUUUCUAGUCUGUGCGGAGCUGUACCAUUGAAACUUGCCUCCUGUAAUUCACAAUCAACCCACUAUCACCUCAAGCCUGAUCUGAGAGAGGCUGUGACUUCCCUACGUGCUCCUCCUAGUGAAGAUUUGCCAUCAGUGCUGACAAGGCAGUAGCAGCCUCACUAGCUGACAUCUUCUCCAGACUGGUAUGAGAAGGAUCCUGGUUUCUGCAUCACUUCACUCACUGUUGCCAUUGAUUCUUUAUGGGAUACUGUGUGAGGGAGAAAGGCAGUCUACAGAGAGCAAGAUCUGUUCCACAACAGAGGAUCCUUUGAGUUGUAGUGUUUACCAUGCUAUCUCAAGCCCUAACCACUUCAUUCUCUGUAAUUUGAUUAUUUGGUCAUGCCCUGGAAUGCAAAGUACACCUCUGAUAUGUUUGUAUAAGCCUAGCCUCUUCAAGUACAGAACGGAUGUCCUUCUGGCUACCAAGGGCCUUUUGCUGCAACAGAGCAAUGAAGAGAUCAGGAAGGUACCGUGAGACUGAAUUGGUCCUCAAAAUUACUGGCACCUUCUGUAAUCUUUCCGUAUCCCUUCUGCCAGGGAUUAGCAGCAGCAAGAAGGAUAGGUUUACUGGGGAAGUCUUGUAAAUAAACAAAUGUUUCCAGUCUAA